UACGAGGGGGGCGAGCGUUGUUCGGAAUUAUUGGGCGUAAAGGGCGCGUAGGCGGUUGGAUAAGCCUUGUGUGAAAUCUUCGGGCUCAACUCGAAGUCUGCACGAGAAACUAUCUGGCUUGAGUGUGGGAGAGGUGAGUGGAAUUCCGGGUGUAGCGGUGGAAUGCGUAGAGAUCCGGAAGAACACCGGUGGCGAAGGCGGCCUGCUGGGCAGUUGCUGACACUGAGGCGCGACAGCGUGGGGAGCAAACAGG
rnacentral:rRNA from 1 species